AGAGCGAACGCUGGCGGCAGGCCUAACACAUGCAAGUCGAACGAACUCUUCGGAGUUAGUGGCGGACGGGUGAGUAACACGUGGGAACGUGCCUUUAGGUUCGGAAUAACUCAGGGAAACUUGUGCUAAUACCGAAUGUGCCCGUUCGGGGGAAAGAUUUAUCGCCUUUAGAGCGGCCCGCGUCUGAUUAGCUUGUUGGUGGGUAAUGGCCCACCGAAGGCUACGAUCAGUAGCUGGUCUGAGAGGAUGACCAGCCACAGUUGGGACUGAGACGACGGACCCAAACUCCUAACGGGACGCAGCAGGUGGGGAAUCUGCGACAAGUGGGACGAAACGGCC
rnacentral:rRNA from 1 species